rnacentral:lncRNA from 1 species
CAGUCCAAAAGUGAACGACUUGUAUGGCAAUAGAUGAGUGUUUUUCCUCUCUCUCUUUCUCUUCUUUCUUUCUGUUUUUGUCUGUCUCUUUAUCUCUCUCUGUCUCUCUCUUUCCGUCUCUCUCUUUCUCUCUCACUCUCUCUCUUUUCCUCUUUCUUUCACUUUCUCUCUCUUUCUCUGUCUCUCUUUCUCUCGUUCUCACUUUCUCGCUUUCUUUUUCUCUCUUUCCCUCCCCUUUUCUCUCUCUCUCCUCUUUCUCUCUCUC